AUUAAAAAAAAAUAAUAAAUUCCUCUGUUAUUACAGGGGGCUACAGGAAAGGACUUCCAAUUGCCUUGAGUAUUUCCCUUGAGAAUAAAACAUAAAAGUACAGCUGAAAGUCAACGAGAAAUGCUCUUGCCUCACAAAUUGCCUCAGAACAAGGCUUUCACAUAUCAAGGUCCCUGAUAGUACCUUGGCAUUCAUCCUUGGAAGGAUGACUUGGAACAUGGACAAGGAUUUUACCCAGUUUUCUGCAUAUGUAUGUGAUGAAAAUGAUACCACAUUCCAUGAAAAUCUUGACAAAGAUGGGAACACUUGA
rnacentral:lncRNA from 1 species